rnacentral:rRNA from 1 species
UAGAGUUUGAUCCUGGCUCAGGAUUAACGCUAGCGGAAGGCAUAAUACAUGCAAGUCGAACGGGAUAGAACUUAGCAAUAGGUUCUUGAGAGUGGCGCACGGGUGCGUAACACGUAUGCAACCUGCCCUUAAUCGGGGAAUAGCCUCUCGAAAGAGAGAUUAAUACCCCAUAACAUAUUUGUUAGGCAUCUAAUGGAUAUUAAAACUACGGUGAUUAAGGAUGGGCAUGCGGCUGAUUAGGUAGUUGGUGAGGUAAUGGCUCACCAAGCCAACGAUCAGUAGGGGGUCUGAGAGGAUGUCCCCCCACACUGGUACUGAGACACGGACCAGACUCCUACGGGAGGCAGCAGUAGGGAAUAUUGGACAAUGGAGGCAACUCUGAUCCAGCCAUUCCGCGUGCAGGAAUAAGGCCCUAUGGGUCGUAAACUGCUUUUGUAUGGGAAAAAAUCAUCUUACGUGUAGGAUGUUGAUGGUACCAUGAGAAUAAGGAUCGGCUAACUUCGUGCCAGCAGCCGCGGUAAUACGAAGGAUCCAAGCGUUGUCCGGAUUUACUGGGUUUAAAGGGUGCGUAGGCGGGAAAUUAAGUCAGUGGUGAAAGCUGGUAGCUCAACUAUCAAAUUGCCAUUGAAACUGAUUUUCUCGAGUACGGUUGAGGUAGCUGGAAUGUAACAUGUAGCGGUGAAAUGCUUAGAUAUGUUACAGAACACCAAUUGCGAAGGCAGGCUACUAAACCGUAACUGACGCUGAGGCACGAAAGCGUGGGGAUCAAACAGGAUUAGAUACCCUGGUAGUCCACGCUGUAAACGUUGCAUACUCGGUCUUAGCGAUAUACAGUUAGGACCUAAGCGAAAGCAUUAAGUAUGCCACCUGGGGAGUACGGUCGCAGAUUGAAACUCAAAGGAAUUGACGGGGCCCGCACAAGCGGAGGAGCAUGUGGUUUAAUUCGAUGAUACGCGAGGAACCUUACCCGGGCUUGAAAGUUAGUGACGAUUCGAAAGGAGUUUUUCUAGCAUAGACACGAAACUAGGUGCUGCAUGGCUGUCGUCAGCUCGUGCGUGAGGUGUGGGUAGUCCGCAACGACGCACCCUAUCUAGUUGCCAUCAGUUAGCUGGGACUCUAAAGGAACUGCUACGUAGGUAUGGAGGAAUGUGGGGAUGACUC